UGUAUGUAUAAGUCUCCCGUAAAUUAAUUUUUUACAUAAAUUUUUAGAUAAACUUCCACACGAAUUCUAGGUGCAAGCGAGUCGGAUAGAGAAACGUUCGCUUACAAACCGAAGAGUACAGGUGCUUAGGGCAUUCACCUUCGUUCAAGUGAGCAAAGAGAGUUCAAGGUCGCCGAAACACGUGGUAAAUCAUUGCAGUGGGAACGCUUGCAUCUCGGCGAGAUGAAAAAGGAAGGAUGCGCGUAAGCGUAUAAAAAAAUAUACAUCUAAAGUUAGAAUUUAAUUUGCUAAGUUAAAAAUUUAAAUAUCUCGAAUUAUGUGCUUCUAAUGGUAAUCCACUAUAAGCUGCAUAUAAUUGGCUGGGAGACUUAAAGAUAUCAUAUAACAGAGUGAAAAGAUCGUUACCCUGAUCCAGGCUAAGCGUCAAACAAUUCAGUAGAUUGCGAUCGAUUUUGAUCUGAAGAAGUCCGAGGCACUUUCGCGCGAUGACUGACACUGACUGCGAUUCUGGCAUAGCCGUAGGGGAACGAAGGCCUUUAGUAUAUCGUGGGACGCGCGAGACAUCCCCUCCUUCACGAUACCAUACCGGCACGCACACUAUGCCCUUGUCUUGCUCCACUCCAGCCGCUCAUUUUAUGAUUCUUGUCUAAAGAGUUCCUCCUCCUUUCACAUUGCACACCGCGCUCUUGUCGCUGCAAAUGAGGUGACGAAAAGCAGGACGUGCCUGUGUUUGCCGCUUACAACACAACAUGUUACUUAAUUAAUGAAAGCGUAGCUCAUCUUCGGCGUCUCGAUUAAGCAACUGCCGCAAUCUUUGGUUGUAGGAACCUGUUUCGAGGCGACUAAUAAUAUAAUCGUGCGAAA